rnacentral:tRNA from 1 species
GCGGGUAUGGUGGAAUUGGUAGACACGCUAGACUUAGGAUCUAGUGCCGCGAGGCAUGGGGGUUCGACUCCCUCUACCCGCACCA